CUCGUAGUUGAACCUUGGGCCUGGCUGGCCGGUCCGCCUCACCGCGUGUACUGGUCCGGCCGGGCCUUUCCUUCUGGAGAGCCCCAUGCCCUUCACUGGGCGUGCGGGGGAACCAGGACUUUUACUUUGAAAAAAUUAGAGUGUUCAAAGCAGGCCUUUGCUCGAAUACGUUAGCAUGGAAUAAUAGAAUAGGACGUGCGGUCCUAUUUUGUUGGUUUCUAGGACCGCCGUAAUGAUUAAUAGGGAUAGUCGGGGGCAUCAGUAUUCAAUUGUCAGAGGUGAAAUUCUUGGAUUUAUUGAAGACUAACUACUGCGAAAGCAUUUGCCAAGGAUGUUUUCAUUAAUCAGUGAACGAAAGUUAGGGGAUCGAAGACGAUCAGAUACCGUCGUAGUCUUAACCGUAAACUAUGCCGACUAGGGAUCGGGCGAUGUUUCUAUCUUGACUCGCUCGGCACCUUACGAGAAAUCAAAGUUUUUGGGUUCUGGGGGGAGUAUGGUCGCAAGGCUGAAACUUAAAGG
rnacentral:rRNA from 2 species